UCCGCCCGCUGGCGGCGUGCUUAACACAUGCAAGUCGAACGGAAAGGCCCUGCUUUUGUGGGGUGCUCGAGUGGCGAACGGGUGAGUAACACGUGAGUAACCUGCCCUUGACUUUGGGAUAACUUCAGGAAACUGGGGCUAAUACCGGAUAGGAGCUCCUGCUGCAUGGUGGGGGUUGGAAAGUUUCGGCGGUUGGGGAUGGACUCGCGGCUUAUCAGCUUGUUGGUGGGGUAGUGGCUUACCAAGGCUUUGACGGGUAGCCGGCCUGAGAGGGUGACCGGCCACAUUGGGACUGAGAUACGGCCCAGACUCCCACGGGAGGCAGCAGUGGGGAAUAUUGCACAAUGGGCGGAAGCCUGAUGCAGCAACGCCGCGUGCGGGAUGACGGCCUUCGGGUUGUAAACCGCUUUCGCCUGUGACGAAGCGUGAGUGACGGUAAUGGGUAAAGAAGCACCGGCUAACUACGUG
rnacentral:rRNA from 1 species